UACGUAGGGUGCAAGCGUUAAUCGGAAUUACUGGGCGUAAAGCGUGCGCAGGCGGUUAUUCAAGACAGAUGUGAAAUCCCCGGGCUCAACCUGGGAACUGCAUUUGUGACUGGAUGACUAGAGUACGGCAGAGGGGGAUGGAAUUCCGCGUGGUAGCAGUGAAAUGCGUAGAUAUGCGGAGGAACACCGAUGGCGAAGGCAAUCCCCUGGGCCUGUACUGACGCUCAUGCACGAAAGCGUGGGGAGCAAACAGG
rnacentral:rRNA from 1 species